AUCCGGAUAGAUUAAAAGUAAAUCGUACCUUUGAAGCAGGUAAAUUAGUGGACCUUCUGGAUA
rnacentral:tRNA from 1 species